GACGAACGCUGGCGGCGUGCUUAACACAUGCAAGUCGAACGGAAAGGCCCUGCUUUUGUGGGGUGCUCGAGUGGCGAACGGGUGAGUAACACGUGAGUAACCUGCCCUUGACUUUGGGAUAACUUCAGGAAACUGGGGCUAAUACCGGAUAGGAGCUCCUGCUGCAUGGUGGGGGUUGGAAAGUUUCGGCGGUUGGGGAUGGACUCGCGGCUUAUCAGCUUGUUGGUGGGGUAGUGGCUUACCAAGGCUUUGACGGGUAGCCGGCCUGAGAGGGUGACCGGCCACAUUGGGACUGAGAUACGGCCCAGACUCCUACGGGAGGCAGCAGUGGGGAAUAUUGCACAAUGGGCGGAAGCCUGAUGCAGCAACGCCGCGUGCGGGAUGACGGCCUUCGGGUUGUAAACCGCUUUCGCCUGUGACGAAGCGUGAGUGACGGUAAUGGGUAAAGAAGCACCGGCUAACUACGUGCCAGCAGCCGCGGUGAUACGUAGGGUGCGAGCGUUGUCCGGAUUUAUUGGGCGUAAAGGGCUCGUAGGUGGUUGAUCGCGUCGGAAGUGUAAUCUUGGGGCUUAACCCUGAGCGUGCUUUCGAUACGGGUUGACUUGAGGAAGGUAGGGGAGAAUGGAAUUCCUGGUGGAGCGGUGGAAUGCGCAGAUAUCAGGAGGAACACCAGUGGCGAAGGCGGUUCUCUGGGCCUUUCCUGACGCUGAGGAGCGAAAGCGUGGGGAGCGAACAGGCUUAGAUACCCUGGUAGUCCACGCUGUAAACGGUGGGUACUAGGUGUGGGGUCCAUUCCACGGGUUCCGUGCCGUAGCUAACGCUUUAAGUACCCCGCCUGGGGAGUACGGCCGCAAGGCUAAAACUCAAAGGAAUUGACGGGGCCCCGCACAAGCGGCGGAGCAUGCGGAUUAAUUCGAUGCAACGCGUAGAACCUUACCUGGGUUUGACAUGGAUCGGGAGUGCUCAGAGAUGGGUGUGCCUCUUUUGGGGUCGGUUCACAGGUGGUGCAUGCCUGUCGUCAGCUCGUGUCGUGAGAUGUUGGGUUAAGUCCCGCAACGAGCGCAACCCUUGUUCACUGUUGCCAGCACGUUAUGGUGGGGACUCAGUGGAGACCGCCGGGGUCAACUCGGAGGAAGGUGGGGAUGACGUCAAGUCCUCAUGCCCCUUAUGUCCAGGGCUUCACGCAUGCUACAAUGGCUGGUACAGAGAGUGGCGAGCCUGCGAGGGUGAGCGAAUCUCGGAAAGCCGGUCUCAGUUCGGAUUGGGGUCUGCAACUCGACCUCAUGAAGUCGGAGUCGCUAGUAAUCGCAGAUCAGCAACGCUGCGGUGAAUACGUUCCCGGG
rnacentral:rRNA from 1 species